AUUCACCCAGUUCAAUGUAACAGUGAUGGGUUUAGGAUACUGUCCUUCAUAUUCACCCAGUUCAAUGUAACAGUGAUGGGUUUAGGAUACUGUCCUUCAUAUUCACCCAGUUCAAUGUAACAGUGAUGGGUUUAGGAUACUGUCAUUCAUAUUCACCCAGUUCAAUGUAACAGUGAUGGGUUUAGGAUACUGUCCUUCAUAUUCACCCAGUUCAAUGUAACAGUGAUGGGUUUAGGAUACUGUCCUUCACCCAGUUCAAUGUAACAGUGAUGGGUUUAGGAUACUGUCCUUCACCCAGUUCAAUGUAACAGUGAUGGGUUUAGGAUACUGUCCUUCACCCAGUUCAAUGUAACAGUGAUGGGUUUAGGAUACUGUCAUUCAUAUUCACCCAGUUCAAUGUAACAGUGAUGGGUUUAGGUUACUGUCCUUCAUAUUCACCCAGUUCAAUGUAACAGUGAUGGGUUUAGGAUACUGUCAUUCAUAUUCACCCAGUUCAAUGUAACAGUGAUGGGUUUAGGUUACUGUCCUUCAUAUUCACCCAGUUCAAUGUAACAGUGAUGGGUUUAGGAU
rnacentral:lncRNA from 1 species